UACGGAGGGAGCUAGCGUUGUUCGGAAUUACUGGGCGUAAAGCGCACGUAGGCGGCUUUGUAAGUUAGAGGUGAAAGCCCGGGGCUCAACUCCGGAAUUGCCUUUAAGACUGCAUCGCUUGAAUCCAGGAGAGGUGAGUGGAAUUCCGAGUGUAGAGGUGAAAUUCGUAGAUAUUCGGAAGAACACCAGUGGCGAAGGCGGCUCACUGGACUGGUAUU
rnacentral:rRNA from 1 species